UCUGCUUCAGCUGUGGGGCCACAGAAGGCAGGACUCAAGGAUGGACUCCACCAUGGCCUUGUCCCCUCUCCUGCUCUCCCUCCUGGCUCACUGCAUAGGGUCCUGGGCCCAGGCUGUGCUGACUCAGCCACCCUCAGUGUCGGGAAACCCAGGACAGACCAUCACCAUCACCUGCACUGGAAGCAGCUCUAACAUCGGCAGUUACUAUGUGGGUUGGCACCAACAGGUCCCAGGAAAACCCCCUAAAACCGUCAUCUAUGAUACUAGCAGUAGACCCUCUGGGAUCCCCAACCGCUUCUCUGGUUCCAAGUCUGGCAGCGUCGGCACCCUGACCAUCAGUGGGCUCCAGGCUGAGGAUGAGGCCGACUAUUACUGUCAGUCCUAUGACAGCAGUAGCAGUGCUCCCACAGUGCUGCAGGGCCGUGGGGAAAGCUGCCGCCCUCUCAUUGACCCUCACUGUGAACCCCUGUCCUGUAGCUCCCAGGGUGAAGACUCUGUCCCGGCUGAACCAGCCUCUCAGCACCUCGGGCUGUGGCCGACCUUUGGUGCUGGGAAAUGA